CUCUCAAAUCUAUUUUAGAAAACAUCUUAGCACCAUGAAGUUCAUCCAAUAAAUCCUCAAUCAUAGGAAUAGGGAAUUUAUUUUUGACAGUACUAUUAUUCAAUCUCCUAUAAUCAAUACAAAACCUCCAUGUUCCAUCUUUCUUCUUUACUAAAAGAACUGAUGAAGAAAAUGGGCUAGAGCUUGGCUGAAUGACUUUUGAGGUUAACAUAUCAUUCACAAGUUUCUCAAUUUUAGUCUUUUGGUAAUAGGGAUACCUGUAUGGUCUUACAUUAAUAGGUUUUGUGCCUGGCAGUAAGGAAAUGCUAUGGUUGUGGGAUCUAAAAGGAGGCAAGGAAGUUGGUUCUUCAAAGAUAUGGUGGUAUUUAUCAAGAAGAGAUUGAAUAGCAAGAUGUAUAGUACCUUUAGAGACUGAACACAAGAAAUUCUUUUGCUGCAGAAAAGAACCUGCAGCAGAUGGUGCUAACUGCUCCACAUAAAAGAGAGGUGAUUGAAAAUCAUGUCCUUGCUUGUGAAUUAAUUUCCCAAGACUAACACAUUCCUGCAAUUCACAAGAUUCACCACCAUCCCUGGUUCCUUAUAAUGUUGCUGUAUUUCCAUCCUUAUGAAAAGAAAUCUUUAACCCUUUAAAAUCAAAAUGUAUAGGAUUAACGCUCUUCAUCCAAUCCACUCCAAGUAUUAUAUCAAAACUCGCCAAAUCUAAAAUCCUCAUACGACUCAAUUCAACUCAACUAAGCCU
rnacentral:misc_RNA from 1 species